AGCGAACGCUGGCGGCAGGCCUAACACAUGCAAGUCGAACGAACUCUUCGGAGUUAGUGGCGGACGGGUGAGUAACACGUGGGAACGUGCCUUUUGGUUCGGAAUAACUCAGGGAAACUUGUGCUAAUACCGAAUGUGCCCUUCGGGGGAAAGAUUUAUCGCCAUUAGAGCGGCCCGCGUCUGAUUAGCUAGUUGGUGAGGUAACGGCUCACAAAGGCGAGGAUCAGUAGCUGGUCUGAGAGGAUGACCAGCCACAGUGGGACUGAGACAAGGCACAGACGACGAAGGGAGGCAGCAGGGGGGAAGAGUGAACAAUGGGAGGAAGCAUGAUGAAGAAAAGCCGCGUGCGGGAAGAAGGCAUUGGGGUUGUAAAAAGAGUGCGCCUGGGACGAAGCGUGAGUGACGGUAAUGGGUAAAGAAGCACCGGCUAACUACGU
rnacentral:rRNA from 1 species